rnacentral:rRNA from 1 species
AUUGAACGCUGGCGGCAGGCUUAACACAUGCAAGUCGAGCGGAGAUGAGGUGCUUGCACCUUAUCUUAGCGGCGGACGGGUGAGUAAUGCUUAGGAAUCUGCCUAUUAGUGGGGGACAACAUUCCGAAAGGAAUGCUAAUACCGCAUACGUCCUACGGGAGAAAGCAGGGGAUCUUCGGACCUUGCGCUAAUGGAUGAGCCUAAGUCGGAUUAGCUAGUUGGUGGGGUAAAGGCCUACCAAGGCGACGAUCUAUAGCGGGUCUGAGAGGAUGAUCCGCCACACUGGGACUGAGACACGGCCCAGACUCCUACGGGAGGCAGCAGUGGGGAAUAUUGGACAAUGGGGGGAACCCUGAUCCAGCCAUGCCGCGUGUGUGAAGAAGGCCUUAUGGUUGUAAAGCACUUUAAGCGAGGAGGAGGCUACUGAGACUAAUACUCUUGGAUAGUGGACGUUACUCGCAGAAUAAGCACCGGCUAACUCUGUGCCAGCAGCCGCCGUAAGAC